AGAGUUUGAUCCUCGGUCAGAUUGAACGCUGGCGGCGUGCUUAACACAUGCAAGUCGAGCGAGAAAGCUCUCUUCGGAGAGUGAGUAGAGCGGCGCACGGGUGAGUAACGCGUGGAUAAUCUGCCCUGAAGAUCGGGAUAACAGUUGGAAACGGCUGCUAAUACCGUAUAAUCUGCAUAUUUAGCUUUAUGUGGGAAAGAUGGCCUCUAUUUUAUGCUAUCGCUUUUGGAUGAGUCCGCGUCUCAUUAGCUUGUUGGUGGGGUAAUGGCCUACCAAGGCAACGAUGAGUAGCUGGUCUGAGAGGAUGAUCAGCCACACUGGGACUGAAACACGGCCCAGACUCCUACGGGAGGCAGCAGUGGGGAAUAUUGCGCAAUGGGGGAAACCCUGACGCAGCGACGCCGCGUGUAGGAAGAAGGCCUUCGGGUCGUAAACUACUGUCAAGAGGGAAGAAACUGUUGGACAUUAAUACGGUCCAUCACUGACGGUACCUCUAGAGGAAG
rnacentral:rRNA from 1 species